UACGUAGGGUGCGAGCGUUGUCCGGAAUUACUGGGCGUAACGAGCUCGUAGGUGGUUUGUUGCGUUGUCCGUGAAAACUCACAACUCAAUUGUGGGCGUGCGGGCGAUACGGGCAGACUGGAGUACUGCAGGGGAGACUGGAAUUCCUGGUGUAGCGGUGGAAUGCGCAGAUAUCAGGAGGAACACCGGUGGCGAAGGCGGGUCUCUGGGCAGUAACUGACGCUGAGGAGCGAAAGCGUGGGGAGCGAACAGG
rnacentral:rRNA from 1 species